UACGUAGGUGGCAAGCGUUGUCCGGAUUUACUGGGCGUAAAGGGCGUGCAGGCGGUCUGUUAAGUGCAGGGUGAAAGCUCCCGGCUCAACUGGGAGAGGUCCUUGCAUACUGGCGGACUUGAGGGGGGUAGAGGAAAGUGGAAUUCCCGGUGUAGUGGUGAUAUGCGUAGAUAUCGGGAGGAACACCUGUGGCGAAGGCGGCUUUCUGGGCCCUACCUGACGCUGAGACGUGAAAGCGUGGGGAGCGAACCGG
rnacentral:rRNA from 1 species